rnacentral:rRNA from 1 species
GCAGCAGGCGCGUAACUUUUACACUGCACGCCAGUGCGAUAAGGGGAUCCCAAGUGCGUAGGCAUAGAGCCUACGCUUUUGUCUACCCUAGGGUGGUAGACGAAUAAGGGCUGGGCAAGACCGGUGCCAGCCGCCGCGGUAAUACCGGCAGCCCAAGUGAUGGCCGAUCUUAUUGGGCCUAAAGCGUCCGUAGCUGGCCGCACAAGUCCAUCGGGAAAUCCACCUGCUCAACAGGUGGCCGUCCGGUGGAAACUGUGUGGCUUGGGACCGGAAGGCGCGACGGGUACGUCCGGGGUAGGAGUGAAAUCCUGUAAUCCUGGACGGACCGCCGAUGGCGAAAGCACGUCGCGAAAACGGAUCCGACAGUGAGGGACGAAAGCUAGGGUCUCGAACCGGAUUAGAUACCCGGGUAGUCCUAGCCGUAAACACUGCCUGCUAGGUGUGGCUCCCACUACGAGUGGGUGCUGUGCCGUAGGGAAGCCGCUAAGCAGGCCGCCUGG